UACCUUCGCGUGACCCGGACCUACAAUACCCUGCUCCUUGUUUGCGUGUCCUCCUUUCUCUGUGAUGGUGUUGCGAGUUUCUGUUGCAGUGUUUGGGUGGUAUUGUCAUACUGAACUGCACAGGUGAACAAUUGUGUCACAAGUGAACAUCGAAGGAAACAAAAGGAAGUGUUAGAAUAAUGGGAAUACCGUCUGAGUUAAGGCACAUUUUACUAGUAUGUGAUAUUCACAAGCACUGGGUACCCACUCGACAGUCCGAGGUGCUGCCAACCACCAGUCUGACCGAAGCUUACGGCGGACUCAAGGAUGAAAAUGCAACUGGCGGUAACUCUGUGCCUGGUGAUGGCACUCGCUCUUGCAACUGAGGCGACCGACGACCUUGCAAGGCACCGAGUCCCCCGGGUAGUCGUCCGCCGUGGGCCCAGCCUGCAUCCGAAUCCUGGGUCGCCACCUCGCGUUUCGACGAGAAUUGUCGGAGGAGUAAAUGCUCAGAUCGGCACCGUAGGAGUCCUUAACAGGCCCAGUCCAGACGGUGUUGGGACCCGAGCUGCGCCGAUAAUUAGAGCCGGAUCUCAAAUACCUGCGCGGCGCUGUCUGUUGUACAACGAGUUCAAUUUGUGCAUCAGGUAUAUAUAGCAACGCAAGAUGCAAUGGUACCGGCCGGUAAGAGCAGGUAUGCCAUUGCUUAACACAACUAACGUUAUAAAGAUGCCAUAUGUUUUAAAGGUUUAUAUAAAAAAGGAAUGGUUAUGAAAAGCCUGUAUUUCCUCUUGAAACUGAGAAGAUAUAGGGUGUAUUUUCGAUCUUUGUUUGCCGUUCAUGUGAUUGAAGUAUGGAAGAUUUACCAAAAAUAGUUUUUAGUAUAUAUUGCUUUAAAAAAUAGUGUAUUGCACAUUUUGACAUGGAGAUUAUACGAAACACCCGGCCAUCAACUCUCUCAACUUGGUAUACUAAAGAUAAAUGCAUGUACAUUGCUUGCAAGGUCCUUGCAGGAGUUCCAAUUUCAAAAACCUAUGAGGUAGAGGCUAGCAGUAAAUGUUAUUAUGGAAAUAUGAUGAACUUGUGAUAUCUGAAUAACAUUUGUGAUUAUAAAAGCGGAGAAGCCAACAUCAUUUUCAGUCGGUCCUGUUCCUAUUAUUUAAUGAGUUUGUAGCCCUUGGUUACAAGUUCGCACAUUCUUUGAGACGUUGUUUAUAAGGUGAAACACAAAUUAAUAUAUUGUAGUAAAAUGGUAAUUUAAGCAAUAGUGACAGAAAGGUUGAAAUAGUUUUCAUUGCCAUGUGGUAGUAUUAAAUUUUAAGUAUUUCAUUAAAUACAUACUUGUGCGUGUGGAUGUGCGCACAUAGUCAUUUUAUAUCCAUUUACCUAAGAAAACUAUUUUAUAUUAAUAAUGCAUCAAGAAUUGAGUGAUCCACACGACUUGUUUACUUUUGUAUAAUGAACAUUCAUUAUGUUUAUAUUGCCCCUUUGGUGAUGACAAGUCUGUAUGCUUAUGAUAUGUA
rnacentral:misc_RNA from 1 species